CUGCCUGGCUAGAGGGCGACAGAGGGAGGUGGGAUUCCCGGUGUAGUGGUGAAAUGCGUAGAUAUCGGGAGGAACACCAGUGGCGAAGGCGGCCUCCUGGGUCGCCCCUGACGCUCAGACGCGAAAGCUAGGGGAGCAAACGGGAUUAGAUACCCCGGUAGUCCUAGCUGUAAACGAUGUGGACUUGGCGUUGGUGGGGUUAAAUCCAUCAGUGCCGAAGCUAACGCGAUAAGUCCACCGCCUGGGGACUACGACCGCAAGGUUAAAACUCAAAGGAAUUGGCGGGGGCCCGCACAAGCAGCGGAGCGUGUGGUUUAAUUCGAUACUACACGAAGAACCUUACCCGGGUUUGACAUCCAGGUGGUAGGGAACCGAAAGGUGACCGACCCUUCGGGGAGCCUGGACAGGUGCUGCAUGGCUGUCGUCAGCUCGUGUCGUGAGAUGUCCGGUUAAGUCCGGUAACGAGCGCAACCCUUGCUGUAUGUUAUACGUGUCAUACAGGACUGCCGGUUUAGUGCCGGAGGAAGGCGGGGAUGACGUCAAGUCAGCAUGGCCUUUAUAUCCGGGGCUACACACACGCUACAAUGGUCAGUACAACAGGUUGCAAAACCGCGAGGUGGAGCCAAUCCCCAAAACUGGCCUCAGUUCAGAUUGCAGGCUGCAACUCGCCUGCAUGAAGUCGGAGUUGCUAGUAACCGCGCGUCAGCUAUAGUGCGGUGAAUACGUUCUCGGGCCUUGCACACACCGCCCGUCACGUCAUGGAAGCUGACAACACCUGAAGCCGGUAUCCCAACCGCAAGGAGGGAGCUGUCGAAGGUGGGGUUGGUGACUGGGACGAAGUCGUAACAAGGUAACC
rnacentral:rRNA from 1 species